rnacentral:tRNA from 1 species
GGUGGUUCAGUGGUAGAAUGCUCGCCUGCCACGCGGGCGGCCCGGGUUCGAUUCCUGGCGGAUACA